UACGGAGGGGGCUAGCGUUGUUCGGAAUUACUGGGCGUAAAGCGCACGUAGGUGGCUUUGUAAGUUAGAGGUGAAAGCCCGGGGCUCAACUCCGGAAUUGCCUUUAAGACUGCAUCGCUAGAACGUCGGAGAGGUAAGUGGAAUUCCGAGUGUAGAGGUGAAAUUCGUAGAUAUUCGCAAGAACACCAGUGGCGAAGGCGGCUCACUGGCCCGGUACUGACGCUGAGGCACGAAAGCGUGGGGAGCCAAACAGG
rnacentral:rRNA from 1 species